rnacentral:rRNA from 1 species
CACCGGACAAUGGGCGCAAGCCUGAUCCAGCAACGCCGCGUGAGUGAUGAAGGCCUUAGGGUUGUAAAGCUCUUUUACCCGGGAAGAUAAUGACUGUACCGGGAGAAUAAGCCCCGACUAACUCCGUGCCAGCAGCCGCGGUAAUACGGAGGGGGCUAGCGUUGUUCGGAAUUACUAGGCGUAAAGCGCACGUAGGCGGCUUUGUAAGUCAGGGGUGAAAGCCUGGAGCUCAACUCCAGAACUGCCUUUGAGACUGCAUCGCUUGAAUCCGGGAGAGGUGAGUGGAAUUCCGAGUGUAGAGGUGAAAUUCGUAGAUAUUCGGAAGAACACCAGUGGCGAAGGCGGCUCACUGGACCGGUAUUGACGCUGAGGUGCGAAAGCGUGGGGAGCAAACAG